rnacentral:rRNA from 1 species
UACGUAGGGGGCAAGCGUUGUCCGGAAUUAUUGGGCGUAAAGAGCGUGUAGGCGGUCCGGUAAGUCAGCUGUGAAAGUCAAGGGCUCAACCCUUGAAUGCCGGUUGAUACUGUCGGGCUAGAGUCCGGAAGAGGCGAGUGGAAUUCCCGGUGUAGCGGUGAAAUGCGCAGAUAUCAGGAGGAACACCAAUGGCGAAGGCAGCACUCUGGGACGUGACUGACGCUGAGACGCGAAAGCGUGGGGAGCAAACAGG